rnacentral:sRNA from 1 species
UAUCCUAUAUAUGUAUAUGUUCAUAGAGAAACUGUCUAAGGAAGUGCGAAGCUUUCUCAAUCACAUUCAGUAUAACACUUCUCUCAUCCCACUACCGUACUAUCCAUGUCCUAUUCUUAUACUAUUAUACCUGCUCCCUUCGAGAUAGGACUCAGUGGCCUCUUCAAUGGUGCUACUUAUGCUUAUAGUUUCGGUCAGAAGAUUGCACCUUUUGACCCAAGGAAGACGACCACAUCCUUCUCCUUUACCUGCCUGGGCAAAGCAUUUAAAAUAAUUAUUUCAAUCUGGAUUUGUUUCAGGCUUUACAUAUCCAUUCAAAUUAGAAUAUGACCACCCACUGACUCCCCUUUUCCUUUCGCUCGUGAUCGAGCCACCCGAGGCUUCUCGACUGCUUUAAUUCUAAAUUAUAAGAAAUUCAUAUCCAUUUCUCACGAUCAGCUUCGGGAAGUUAUUUUCUAUUUAUUAUUAGAUUUCUGGUUUGCAAUUACCU